rnacentral:rRNA from 1 species
GAUGAACGCUGACAGAAUGCUUAACACAUGCAAGUCUACUUGAACUUCGGUUUGGGUGGCGGACGGGUGAGUAACGCGUAAAGAACUUGCCUCACAGAUAGGGACAACAUUUGGAAACGAAUGCUAAUACCUGAUGUUAUGAUUUUAGGGCAUCCUAGAAUUAUGAAAGCUAUAUGCACUGUGAGAGAGCUUUGCGUCCCAUUAGCUAGUUGGAGAGGUAACGGCUCACCAAGGCGAUGAUGGGUAGCCGGCCUGAGAGGGUGAUCGGCCACAAGGGGACUGAGACACGGCCCUUACUCCUACGGGAGGCAGCAGUGGGGAAUAUUGGACAAUGGACCAAGAGUCUGAUCCAGCAAUUCUGUGUGCACGAUGAAGUUUUUCGGAAUGUAAAGUGCUUUCAGUUGGGAAGAAAAAAAUGACGGUACCAACAGAAGAAGUGACGGCUAAAUACGUG